CUGGGGAUUACGUAUGGGAGUCAUGAGUUCUAAAGCGCCAAAGAGCUGUGAAGUUAAGCUUGCUCUUUGGGCUAGCAUGCUCUGGAGUUUGAUGCUGAUAGCAUCCAUGAUACAGGUCAAAGCCACAGUGUUGUCGGUGUUUUUGUUGGCACUUAAUGAAGUCCUACCACAAUGAAGAAACCCUCAGGGUGGAGCAGCCUGUAAGUGGUACCUCGACGAAGAUAUAUCAGAGAUUAAUGGGUUCUUUGAUAGCUUAACCAGUGACCCUCCUAAAGUGCAGUGGAUAUCAGCAGGGGUUGAAUCUUUUCGUCCCUCGCAUCGGCCAGCACAUCUUAACCAAAAAACGCUUAACCAGUGACCCUCCUAAAGUGCAGUGGAUAUCAGCAGGGUUUGAAUCUUUUCAUCCCUCGCAUCGGCCAGCACAUCUUAACCAAAAAACGGUUGUGGAUCUCAAGAGCAUUGAUCC